AGGUUGAGUUUGAAGAACAAGAAAAACAGUAGAGGUCUACCCGGUACCUAUGGUUAAACAUGAUGAUCAUAAGUGCAUGUAUCAUUUUGCAGAUUCUCAUCCAGGAUGAUGCAGCUCUACAAUUUCCAUGGAGGUGAUUGAUGAUGAUAAACAAUUGGUGAAGUAGGCCUAAUAGAACAGUGAUAGGACCACAAAGAGAAAUACAACCUACAGCAGUUAUAUGAGACUGGUGUAACAGAUGUUUUCAUUCAAGAAAUCCAACAAAUUGAAGAGUGACUUAGCUUAGGAAGCACUUGAUAAAGAUGGAAAAGGUUUUUUUUUUCAAGUCCAAUUUUUUUUUUUUUAAUUAUCAUCACAACCCCAAAUUCAUGAAGUAUGAAAUUUUCUGUUGAUUUUCAUUAAAACUGGUUGCAAAAGGAAAAGCUAUAAACAUACAAAUAGGAGCGGCGAAGUGAAGUUGAAAGUGGGGGGGGGCACAGGGAAAAUGCUGUUUUAUGUGAAAUUUUAAAGAAGUUGCGAGAGAGCAAAAUUUUGACAUUUUUAAAAAGAAAAUCCAAUUUUGUGAUAGAUUUCGACAAAAUAUUCAGAAUGAUAUAUUUCACCCUUUUUUUUGGGGGGGGGGGGCAAGAGUCCUUCAAGCCCCCCCCCCCCCUCCAUCUGUAGUGUACGAAACUGCUUAUCUACCCCCACUCACAUGAAUUAUUAAACUUAAUGCACAAAGGAUUUCCUUAUUGUUCUUGUUUCAAAGGGCACUCGUCAUGGUGACCAUAAAACGGGUCCUUCUCAGGUGAAAGGGGCACAGAACAAAUUCUUUAGGAGCACUUUUCUUGGGUAAAAGGGGGCAGUUAUUCGAGAAAGGGCACUUACAAGAAGGCGAGGGGGCACUUUUUAACACUUAAAACGGGCCCCCAGAUGAAAGGGCACAGAACACGUUCAGGGGGGCAUUUUUUGGUAAAAAUUUGCAUACAAGGAAGAGCACUUGGUAACACCUAAAACAGGUUCGCGUCAGGUGAAAGGGACACAGUACACGUUCGUGAGGGUCAUUUUUCUUACAUAAAAUUAAAGGCACUUUUCAGUGCUUCAAAAAGUAGGGGGAACUGUGCCCCCCAGGAUCGCUGCCCCUGCAUACAAAAAACAUUUUUGUUUGAUUCAAAGUAUUAACAUACGCUUAAGAAAAAAAGUAAGGCUAAAUCCUCUGAUAAUGUGAUAUUUUUUCUGGCUAUUAAUAAAAUUCACAACUAACCAG